rnacentral:tRNA from 1 species
GGGGCUGUAGUUCAGUUGGGAGAACGCUUGAAUGGCAUUCAAGAGGUCAGGGGUUCGACUCCCCUCAGCUCCA